rnacentral:rRNA from 1 species
AUUGAACGCUGGCGGCAUGCCUUACACAUGCAAGUCGAACGGCAGCACGGGAGCAAUCCUGGUGGCGAGUGGCGAACGGGUGAGUAAUACAUCGGAACGUGCCCAGUAGUGGGGGAUAACCCGGCGAAAGCCGGACUAAUACCGCAUACGACCUACGGGUGAAAGCAGGGGAUCGCAAGACCUUGCGCUAUUGGAGCGGCCGAUGUCAGAUUAGCUUGUUGGGGGGUAAAAGCCUACCAAGGCAACGAUCUGUAGCUGGUCUGAGAGGACGACCAGCCACACUGGGACUGAGACACGGCCCAGACUCCUACGGGAGGCAGCAGUGGGGGAUUUGGACAAUGGGCGCAAGCCUGAUCCAGCCAUGCCGCGUGCGGGAAGAAGGCCU